GGUUGGGGUUUUAUUAAAAUAAAUAAAAGCUUUCAAGAUUAGCUUCUUUGGGUCAAGGAGC
rnacentral:ncRNA from 1 species